CGUGCUCUCUGUCAUGCCAUAUAUGAUUUGUGCAAAGCUGUCAUUUUCGGGUAUCUAUCUUUGUUGUUGCAACAGCUGGGGCAAGGAAUUAAGUGCAAGGAAAACCUUAAAUUUAUUUUCUGGUGCCAAUAAGACAGCAGAUACGGGAGGAGCUGCAAAUGCUAGGAUUCAAACCCUAAAUCUUCUGAUGUCACAUAUAAAAGGAUGCAGAAUGUGUCUGACAUUUCAUCAUAAAGUGGAGGAGAGGAGGAGAAAAGUGAAGUGCCAAUCCAUAUUUUCUCAGGUUUGAACUAUACAUCUACGCCCUUGGCCCUUUUCAACUAUUCCCUUUGAUAUCCGUGUUUGGAAUACACGAAUUCUCUUGAAACCAUUAACCUCUAGUUUGUUUGAGUUGAAGUUGUGUGACUGUGACAGUAAUUGGAGAGGAAGAUGCAAUUGAUAUGUGGUACAGGUUGAAAGUGGCAACUAGGAUGAAGCUAUGACUAUUGAAGAAGCGUAAUUAUGACAAAAGAAUGAACUUGAGAAAAAUUAUUGUAUUUAAUAUGAAUAUAAAUAAUAUUCUAAAAACAAAACUAACUUUAUCAAACAAAACAUAUUUUAAAUAUGAACAAUUGUGAAUGCUUUGUUUCAUGUAGGCAUGUAUGGUGAAAUUUGUUUUGUGCU